UGACGCCACUUGAUGUGGCUGCCACAUUGGGGCAUGCACAGACGGUGAAGGCGCUAGUGGAGCUGGGGGCAGACGUGGAC
rnacentral:ribozyme from 1 species